GCUACUGCUAUCGGGGUUCUAUUAAGCCAUGCGAGUUAAAUGUUCUUUGUGAACAUAGCGAACUGCUCAGUAACACGUGGAUAACCUACCCUUAGGACCGGAAUAACCCCGGGAAACUGGGGAUAAUACCGGAUAAGCCAUAGACGCUGGAAUGCCCUAUGGUUCAAAGCUCCGGCGCCUAAGGAUGGAUCUGCGGUCUAUCAGGUUGCAGUGGGUGUAACGUACCUACUAGCCGACGACGGAUACGGGUUGUGAGAGCAAGAGCCCGGAGAUGGAUUCUGAGACACGAAUCCAGGCCCUACGGGGUGCAGCAGGCGCGAACACUUUACAAUGCGGGAAACCGCGAUAAGGGAACCCCGAGUGCCAGCAUCAAAUGUUGGCUGUCCAGAUGAUUAAAAAUCAUUUGUUAGCAAGGGCCGGGCAAGACCGGUGCCAGCCGCCGCGGUAACACCGGCGGCCCGAGUGGUAGCCGUUUUUAUUGGGUCUAAAGGGUCCGUAGCCGGCUUGAUAAGUCCUUUGGAAAAUCUGGCAGCUUAACUGUCAGGCUUCUAAGGGAUACUGUCAGGCUUGGGACCGGAAGAGGUAAGGGGUACUCCAGGGGUAGGAGUGAGAUCUUGUAAUCCCUGGGGGACCAUCUGUGGCGAAGGCGUCUUACCAGAACGGGUCUGACGGUGAGGGACGAAAGCUGGGGGCGCAAACCGGAUUAGAUACCCGGGUAGUCCCAGCCGUAAACGAUGCUCGCUAUGUGUCAGGUACGGUGUGACCGUAUCUGGUGCCGUAGGGAAGCCGUGAAGCGAGCCACCUGGGAAGUACGGUCACAAGACUGAAACUUAAAGGAAUUGGCGGGGGAGCACUACAACGGGUGGAGCCUGCGGUUUAAUUGGAUUCAACGCCGGA
rnacentral:rRNA from 1 species